AUGAGGGUAGGGCUGAUAGACUGUGAAGAGGAGGAAAAGGAAUUCGGGGUGAGGGAAAUACAAGACCUAGCCCGUAGCUCUGCCAGCAGGAGAGCAGUUGGGAGAGCAGGAGCCUCUCUACACAGAAGGGCUGAACAGCUCAUUCACAUCUCAACCUUUCUGUGUGGGGAGAGUGGUCUUGCUUCACCUCUGUCUUCCCCAUUCUGUAUUCCAAAUUCUUCAGUUCAAAUCCAAGUUCUAAGUUCUACCUUCUGGGUUCCUGUUCCAUUAUGUUUCCCUCCCGCAGAUUCUUCUCAGCUCCCAUUCCUUUUCUCAGCCUUUCUGGGUGGAAUAUGUGGACAUCCUGCCAACUUAGCUAAUUUGAGGGCUUUCCCUUUUGCUUCUUGAGGCAGUUCUAGGCUUUUUUCCAGCAGGAGGGUCUUGGCUCAGACUGUCCAGCAAGUGGGUGGCCCAGUGGAGUACAGGGAAUUCCUGAGAGCCUGGCCUGGCCUAACCUCCUCCCAGACCACCUUUAAUCACUGGACACACUACCUUUUGUGCAACUUAAGCUAAACUGAGGGUUUCCAGGGUGAUGAUUAUGAACUGGUGACCUUGAGAUGGGGAAUCUUAGGAGGAACCUAGGCAGCAUAUUAAAAUGCAGAGACAUUACUUUACUAACAGAAGUCUGUCUAGUCAAGGCUAUGGUUUUUCCAGUAGUCAUGUAUG
rnacentral:lncRNA from 1 species